UUUCACACAGCUGAAGUCUAACUUCCUCUUAUUUAUUCAAAAUGCUCUAGAAUCUGGAUCCAUUAUCUUGAAUAUUCUACCAUGAGAAUCCUCCAUUCCAAGCACACAGAUCCAAAUCCUUAGAACACAGCAUACACUACACUUGCUUCAGGCCCAAAUCUUUGUUCAUAUUGAUCACCCACUCAUCAUAAUCCACCCACCUCUGCCUAUCUAAACCCUGACUAUAGUCUUAAACUCUUUUUUUUCCUUUUAAAAAUUCAUACUUCCAUGCCAGGCUCAAUGGCUCAUACCUGUAAUCCCGGCACUUUGGUAGGCCAAAGCGAGAGGAUCCCUUGAGCCCAGGAGUUUGAGAUCAGCCUGGGCAACAAACUGAGAUCUCUAAAAAAAAAAAAAAAAUUAAAAAAUUAGCCAGGCAUAGCGGAGUGUGUCUGUGGUCCCAGUUACACAAGAGGCUCCGAGGCCAGCCUGGCCUAUUAUGGUGAAACCCCAUCUCUACUAAAAAUACAAAAAUUGCCCCAAUGUGGUGGCGUGCACCUGUAAUCCCCAGCUACUCGGGAGGCUGAGGCAUGAGAAUUGCUUGAACCUAGGAGGCAGAAGUUGCAGUGAGCUGAGAUGGAGAUCGCACCACUGUACUCCAGCUUGGGUGACAGAGCAAGACUGUCUCAAAAAAAUAAAUAAAUAAAAUAAAUAAAUGAAUUAAGGGUUUUUUUUGUUUGUUUUGGGGGGUUUUUUGAGCCGAGACUGCGCCACUGCACUCCAGCCUGGGCGACAGAGACUCUGUCUCAAAAAAAAGUACAAAACAAUUAUUAGUUAAUAAAGAUCAUGGUAGAGCAUAGUAGCUAACACCCGUAAUCCCAGCACUUGGGGAGGUCAAGGUGGAUGGAUCAUUUGAAGUCAGGAGUUCAAGAGCAGCCUGGCCAACAUGGCAAAAUCCAUCUCUACUAAAAAUACAAAAAUUAGCUAGGUGUGGUGGUACACACCUGUAAUCCCAGCUACUUGGGAGGCUGAGGCAUGAGAAUCACUUGAACCCAGGAAGCAGAGGUUGCAGUGAGCCAAGAUCACACUCCAGCCUGGGUGACAGAGCAAGUCCCUGUCUAAAAAAAUAAAUUAAAAAAAAAAAAAGUCGUAAAAACCAACAAAUUUCAAAUGCACUUAAAAUAGUUUAACUUUCUCAAAUUUCAGCUGAGCUACAGGAGAUUGAAAAAUUCCUUUGGUUGGCAGCAAGCCAAAGAACUGGAAGCCAUUUGAGAAUUCAGAAGUCGCUUGGGAUCCUGCAAUAUCUCAUCCGUGUAAGUCUCAGCUGCAGUUUAUCCAUUGCUUAAAGUCAUAUGCGUGGCUAAUAAUCAGGAACUAGUUACUUUCCUAUUAUAUUAGCUCAAAGUAUUAUUCCUUAGGUAAAAAUAGAUUGUGUCUCACCACAGCACCACGGGAGUUUAUUCCAGAACUUACUUUCCCUCAUAUCUCAUAAUGAACUAACUGUAUCAUCACCCAGAACAAGCCAGCAAAUGACCAUGGCAACCUUAUUUUAUGGUCUCCCACUAUCUCACAACUAACUAUACAGUCUUCACCACUGAAGUUAGAGAGGUGCUUCUGUCUCUGUGGCUGAAUCUAACAUUAACAAGCCAAAAACCAGAAGUAGCUUAUAUGAGCAAACUGCUGCUUUGCCUCUGCCUCUGCCCCAUGUUAGUAUCUUCUAAUAUCAAUAAGCCACCACAGAACAUGUCACUUACCAUCAGACAAAGAAAACAUUAACUGGUUUCUGUAAAUCCCUCCUCUCCACUUGCAAGAAUAACACAAAUCUCAAAAGACAAUCAUAAGCAAUUAUAAUUCAAGAAGGUCACUGAAUAAAUGAGUCUAGACCCUACAUUUCAGAGAAGGGAUAACCAAUGCCUGAAGCAGUUGCAUGGUUAGUCUAAGAUAAGAUAUCUACUACAAUGAAAGAGCCAAACUCAAAACCAGAUUUUUUGCCUCCAAAUCAGGUACACUUCUCAAUACACCAAGGUAAAUCUACUUCUAUUUUAAGACUAGCAAGUACUGUUUCUAAGCCAAAGUCUAGUAUUAAAAGGGCAAGGAUAUUACGAGAUGCACUGGGAAGGAGACCAGGAAAAGACCCACCACAGAUCAGAUCAGGUAUGUAUCUCCUUCUCAUACACUAAUUCCUUAGAUUAUGAUACAGAAAAUACUUUGAAUUUUUAGCUUGUGUUUGACUGUCACUUUCUCUGGUACCUCCUCUAGCAAAAAAAAAAAAAAAAAAAAGCCUGAAACGUGACUGAAAUCCAUUUAUUAAAAUUCUAUGGAGCAGCAAUGGAAUUGGAAAAAGCAGGCCGGCAGAAGAGAAAGCUAUGUAAACCUGGGUUAAUUCUUACUCAUUCUUCUAAUUUAGCUGAGAUGUCAACUUCUUUUAGAAAGCCUUAAUUCCUCCUUCCCCAGACUACUC
rnacentral:lncRNA from 1 species